GGUGGUGUGGCUCGGGGGAAGAGUGCUUGCUUCGCAUGCGAAAUGACUGGGGUUGAAAUCCUCGCACUACUA